ACAGAGUUCAUAGGUUGGGUCAGCGCAAAGUUGUGAAUGUCCAUCGACUCAUCAUGCGUGGCACUUUGGAAGAGAAAGUCAUGAUCCUCCAGAAGUUCAAAGUGUCAAUUGCUAAUGCUGUCAUCAAUGGAGAGCAUGCUAGCCUGAAAACAAUGAACACUGACCAGUUGCUCGAUCUCUUUACUUCUGCACCAACCGCCAGAAAGGGUAGUGCCCUUUCAAGCAGCUUCAAUGGCGACCUGGGUAAAGAUUCAAAAUCCAUGGUGGGUGGGAAGGGCUUGAAAGCCAUUCUAAGUGGACUAGCGGAGCUCUGGGAUCAGUCACAGUACACGGAUGAAUACAAUCUCAGGCAUUUCUUGGCAAAGCUUAAUGGCUGAGUCUGGUUGCACCACAGUGUACAGUGUAAAUGGGAAGAGUGAGUCUGUGGGCCUCAGAUUUUGAUGUUUCACCCUUGAUUCUUUUGUUCUUUAUACAUGUCCAUUGGACCAUGAAACUGGCUAACUUACAUGGGUUGUCUAACUAUUUUUCGGAAUGGUCGAGUUCCCCAAAGGACAGCAGUCACCCAGCACGUACAGUUUGAGAUCGCCAGACUCCUACUAUCCAGGUUGUUUAAGCCUCAGCAAGUAAUGGGUAACUGUAGUUACGCCUGCUCACCAAUGGAGACCUACUCUUUGAUCAUGCCAGUUUCUUAAAUGAGUGUGUUGAAGCCCGGGCUUAUUCGGAGUCCAGAACGCUUGCAACAGCGGCAGCUCGCAAACAAGAUUUUGUUUUUCUUUUCUUCCCCUCUUGAUGCGCUGCGCUGGAUCUGUUCUCAUGGAAAUAAAGACAGCCCAUGGAAACAAAGCAACUGGUGUUGCGAAGAAUUAGGCCAUACUGAGUGUGUAAGACCUAGUAAACUGGGCCCGGUCCACUUGACUAGCCCAGUCAAUAUAGCCUAACAAAAAAAAAAGGGGAAAAAAACUUUGCACGUGCCGCACUCAUGCCGGGAGAGAAGAGGAAUUCUGAUGGAAGUCUUCUUCCUCUUGAUCUUGCCUUAGGAGUUCUCUUCCUCUUGAUCUUGCCGGAUGGAAUGCGACUCUAGGUCAGAUUCCAGUUGUCCGGGCCUAUUUAGAGACUCUUCUUGAGUCCUCUUUCUCUCCGAGCACCGAUUGCCUUCGCACCAUUGUUGCCAUGAGACCGUUAAGGACUCUGCCACCAUCAAGCGACUCCUCUCCUCUUUCUUCCGGGCUUUUUGAAACCUAGAUUU